ACCUCCGUUCUUCGAGAACAUGCAUAGAGCUCCGCCGGAAACGCCGAAGAUUAUAGACCAGAAUACCCAACGCAUUAUUCGGGCCCUGGAAUAAUGAAGAUAAAUAAGUAUCACCGGGUACCUGUACUCUGAAGUCAGUCACACGCCGCCAUUGCGUUGAUCACUCACCUAGCAUGGUUGUAAGCGAGCAUGAUCCUGGUGGCGUGGGCGCCGGCCUGCACCACCAGCACCCCGGACAGGACGCCCAGGAUGCCCUCGGGGUCGUGGGGGACACCCGUGUGGUACAGCGCGUGGAAUGUACCGCGCUGGUACAGGUGAGCUGGGCCUAGUACCAGUCUGGAAUGGAAGAAAGUAGAGGUUAGUACAAACAAGAUAAUAAAUAAAUGGUAGGAAGAAAAUACAGUUAAACGAAAACCUAAUUUAGUUAAAAUAUAAUUUAAUUAAUUUUUUAAAGGACCAAGGGCAGUGAAAUUGUGAAACAGCACAAUGAAAUUGAACUUGCCUGCGAUAUAAUUAAAUUAAGGAUUCAGCAAUGCUGAACAUUAAAACACAAGUACAAAGUGCAAUAGUAAAUUUUUAGUAUAUCUUUUGUAUUUUGUUUACAAUCUAGUAAAUAACUGUGAACAUAUAUUAGUUGUAAAUAAAGUUUAUCCGUCGUACCACAAAAACAUGUCAACGUCAGUUAAACACUUGUGUAAAAAAAUAACAAAUUAUGACGUUGAAAUGAGAUCCGUUUUGCAAUCACACAUUUUUUAGACAAGUGUUCAACAGAUGUUUAAGUUUUUGUAGUAAGGGCACAUACCUGUCGAUGUAGCCGGCGAUGCCCGCGGUGCAGUUCUGCAGCGACUGGUUGUAGGCGGAGAGGUGCAGGCCGCCGGGGCCCAUGUAGCCGCGCGGGCAGCCCGGCGCCGCCACCAGCAGGGUUAUGCACACCUAACGUAACAAUCAUAUAUAAGAAUCUAUACAUAAGUAAUAA